rnacentral:rRNA from 1 species
UCGCGGCCUAUCAGCUUGUUGGUGAGGUAAUGGCUCACCAAGGCGACGACGGGUAGCCGGCCUGAGAGGGUGACCGGCCACACUGGGACUGAGACACGGCCCAGACUCCUACGGGAGGCGGCAGUGGGGAAUAUUGCACAAUGGGCGAAAGCCUGAUGCAGCGACGCCGCGUGAGGGAUGACGGCCUUCGGGUUGUAAACCUCUUUCAGUAGGGAAGAAGCGAAAGUGACGGUACCUGCAGAAGAAGCGCCGGCUAACUACGUGCCAGCAGCCGCGGUAAUACGUAGGGCGCAAGCGUUAUCCGGAAUUAUUGGGCGUAAAGAGCUCGUAGGCGGUUUGUCGCGUCUGCCGUGAAAGUCCGGGGCUCAACUCCGGAUCUGCGGUGGGUACGGGCAGACUAGAGUGAUGUAGGGGAGACUGGAAUUCCUGGUGUAGCGGUGAAAUGCGCAGAUAUCAGGAGGAACACCGAUGGCGAAGGCAGGUCUCUGGGCAUUAACUGACGCUGAGGAGCGAAAGCAUGGGGAGCGAACAGGAUUAGAUACCCUGGUAGUCCAUGCCGUAAACGUUGGGCACUAGGUGUGGGGGACAUUCCACGUUUUCCGCGCCGUAGCUAACGCAUUAAGUGCCCCGCCUGGGGAGUACGG